AGCAGCCGCGGUAAUUCCAGCUCCAAUAGCGUAUAUUAAAGUUGUUGCAGUUAAAAAGCUCGUAGUUGAACUUCGGGAUCAAUUAGUUGGUCAUGCCUUGGUAUGUACUGAUUUUAUUGGUUCUCACCUUCUAAAGAACUAUAAUGUCAUUUAUUUGAUGUUAUAGGGAAUUAGGACUGUUACCUUGAAAAAAUUAGAGUGUUUAAAGCAGGCUCACGCUUGAAUACAUUAGCAUGGAAUAAUGAAAUAGGACAUCGCAUUCUAUUUUGUUGGUUUCUAGGAUCGAUGUAAUGAUUAAUAGGGAUAGUUGGGGGCAUUAGUAUUCAAUUGUCAGAGGUGAAAUUCUUGGAUUUAUUGAAGACUAACUACUGCGAAAGCAUUUGCCAAGGAUGUUUUCAUUAAUCAAGAACGAAAGUUAGGGGAUCGAAGACGAUCAGAUACCGUCGUAGUCUUAACCAUAAACUAUGCCGACUAGGGAUCGGAUGAUG
rnacentral:rRNA from 1 species